ACGUUCGACACCUACGAGAGGCAGCAGUAGGGAAUCUUCCACAAUGGACGCAAGUCUGAUGGAGCAACGCCGCGUGAGUGAAGAAGGUUUUCGGAUCGUAAAGCUCUGUUGUUGGUGAAGAAGGAUAGAGGUAGUAACUGGCCUUUAUUUGACGGUAAUCAACCAGAAAGUCACGGCUAACUACGUACCAGCAGCCGCGGUAAUCUGAGCGGGCGUGGCAAGGC
rnacentral:rRNA from 1 species